rnacentral:rRNA from 1 species
GAAUUGUUCGCAAUGGGCGCAAGCCUGACGACGCAACGCCGCGUGGAGGAUGAAGAUCUUCGGGUCGUAAACUCCUGUCGAAUGGGACGAAUAGAUCGCGGGUGAACAGCCCGUGGUCCUGACGGUACCGGUAAAGGAAACCCCGGCCUACUCCGCUCCAGCCGCCGCGGUAAUACGGGGGGGGUAAGCGUUGUUCGGAAUUACUGGGCGUAAAGGGCUCGUAGGCGGCCAACUAAGUCAGACGUGAAAUCCCUCAGCUUAACUGGGGAACUGCGUCUGAUACUGGAUGGCUUGGAUCCGGGAGAGGGAUGCGGAAUUCCAGGUGUAGCGGUGAAAUGCGUAGAUAUCUGGAGGAACACCGGUGGCGAAGGCGGCAUCCUGGACCGGUAUUGACGCUGAGGAGCGAAAGCCAGGGGAGCAAACGGG